rnacentral:lncRNA from 1 species
GGGGGCGCGCUAUUACGCAAUGAAACUGGAUUUUAAACCGGCCAUGCAGCGAAAAAGGGUUGAAAGCUUUGUGCGAAUUCAGCCUGUAUUCCCGAUAGUUUUGAUCAAUGGAAACGUCUUAUUGAUCACGAUGGUUGCCGUUUUUGUCAGCGUUACAGAAAUGAAAGUAUAAUGUGGACAUGUGAGGGUUCUUGCCAAACCGGUUUUGGAACAUUGUGCUCCUCACAAGGGUCCCGUUCUUCUCGUGACGACGCAGUGCCUCCUAAAAAGUUACUUUGCCGUCCCGAGAACAAGAGUCCCCGACACUGAGGGGGUACGUGAACCCCGUGAGACGCAAAAAGGAACAAGUGACCCAGAAAGAGGAAGAGGAGGGGGACAAGCCGGAGGAAGAGCGAGGCAGAUGGAUGCUGAGGGUGCAGCAGUUCAGCCGAUGACUCAAACACACGUGAGGAUUUUUCCUUUGUUCGGUGCUUCUCCUUUUUGUAUCACUGCUCAUGGCCAUUUAAAGGCCCACUAUGCAAGAUUUUUUGCUAAAAUUACAUUAAUUAUAUAGGUUGAGAGUUAUUAUGAUGGUUCUACAACCAUUUCUGGGUCGUUUGGAGGGUGUUUCAUUGCCCCUUGUCGCUUCUCCAAGGAAAAAGCGAAUAUGCAUCGAAAAUGUAGUCAGAUUGUAGUUUCGAAAAUGUUUUACGGCACAGACACACCCCCAAACGUGGCACCGGCUAGAUAUAAACAGCCAGUUGCGAGGCAAUUGUUGCAUUCAUCAUGGAUCAAUCGACUGAUAAGGGACCCAAGAGGCGACUGUCGGUGCUAACGUUAUGUAUUAUGUUGGCCAACACUCUUACACUGAUUGUUCUGUUCAACCAAAGAUAAAACAAUUAUAAUCUAGGAUAUAAAUUCUCCCCGUGAACUAUAAAAAAGGAUGGAUUUAUGUUUAUUGCAAUUCAAAUGCACCAUUUUAAAAAUGUAUAACCUUGUCUUAACUUUAUGAACAUCUACUUCGGACAUGGCUGCACGCAUUCGCCGGCUUCUUUGAAAACAAAUGCACAUGGCUAGCGUAGAAGUGCAUGGGGAAGGGUCGUCAACGAGUUCUUACGACAGUGUUGUAAAUUAACUACUACGAAGCUGUUAGGGGGCGCUGUGUAGAGAAAAGUGCGUGCGCAAACCAAGAAACAGCGAAGAAAUGGCCGAUCCUGCAUAGUGGGCCUUUUUAAGCUAAGAACAUCUCUACUUUCAAUGUACUCAUGAAGGACUUAAGUUGAUUCAACUUAAGUUGACUUAAGUUAUGACAUUGAGUGGAG